UCAAAGUGUGUGUGCAGGAGAGGAGUCGAGCAGAGAGAGCUGCUUUUUCAUGAAACGGGAGUAAAGUAGUAAACUUACAGGAACAUAUACCACUGCCAACGUUGGGAUUAAUUUCUGCAUCGAUCUGCACACCCUUGUCUCCUGGAUCGUAGCUCAGAUCAGCGUGAACCACGUGGGUCUCUGCUCCCUGAUUUGUUUAGAAAGACUUCCACCUUCAUCACGGAGUUUCUCUCGGUUUGUGGGCUCAUAAAAGGGAUAAAAUACGUCUAAAUAGUUUUUGUGUCCCAGCUGAGUAACAGGAGGACAAGAGUCUGGUGGUGCAGCAUAGGAACAAUUUCAGCCAUUUGGACUCAGCUCAGCCACUACAGAGGAAACAAUGACUUCAAUACAGAAGGACCAACGUGAGGCGGAAAAACAGUGC